AAGCCAUUUUGAGUUAUAUUUGCUACAGUUUCCUUUUGCCUCCUUUACCCCUGGUUAUUAUUUAAUUGUGUUACUCCCUUCAUCCCCCAACCAUCUGGGGACGUCACAUAUUUGGGGGCUUGUCCGGGAUCGUUAAGGAGCCGGAGAAAACUCCACAAAGUGUUUUCGUCCACAGUAGUGGCUGUGGUAGUAAGUACUGGUCGUCCGGUGUGCCAUUGUUAUGCCGUUGCAACUGUGCAGGUAAUUGCUCCUCAGAGGAUGUCGAGAGGAAGCUGAUGAGAAUAAUCUACAUGCCAGUGAGAGAAAGGGAGAGACGGGGAAAGACGGCGCGUCAAAACUUUGAAACGGGGAGGCGAUGAUGCAAGGCCCAGGCAAGACGCCUAAUACCCCCGGCUAACGAUCCAGCAACUGGAAUGCAAACCCUCGAAAUGUCUCUGAGGCAGGGAGCGAUGAUCAAGGAGGGACACUGCAGUGUAGCGGAGUUGUGUCUCUGUCCUUUACCGCAACAUUUGAAUAGCUCAUAAUCAGAAAAAAAAAACUUAUUUCCUUCACUUCACUUCACAAAGACUUCCCCUGUCUGAGAUCAGAUACAGAUUCAUUCAUGCAGUGGACCAAGAUGUUUGCCAGACGUGGAGCAAGAACGCUGUAAUUAUUUUUUCAAUUAUUGCAAGAUUAAUAUUAUCAUAGUAAGUCUUAUCCUCCACUAGUGACAUGUAUAUGUGACAUUUUGUUCAUCAUGCGAUUAAUUAAAUACUCUUAAAUACCUUUAAAGAAAACACAAACUUGUAUUCUUUGCUAGAUUCUACAGUCACAACACUGAAU